UUGAACAGAGGUGAAAGAAGUGUUAUCACCUGUGCAAACCAUCUGGAUAAAGGCUUCACUAUAAAUCAAUAGCUGGCAAUGAGCAAACAAAGAAGGAGGAAGAAGGAAGAAUAUUCAACAGAGACACUGCUUAACAGGCCCCCAGGAAGAGCUCCUUGGCACAUCUACAAGACAAUUUUCCAGUUGCUGCCUUCCCAAACCUGCCACACUUCCUGGUGCAACCAGCUAAAUCACCUCUUCACAUGACUCAUCUAGAGGUACACCAAAGAAACAACACAGCAUGCAAAAAACAAUGUUCAAGAAGUUCUAUCAGCUCCCGUCUUUUGGAGAAGAAAAUUUGAUGCCACAAUAUGACCAAGCACCAUCUAUUCUUUAUUUAUUAUUAGAAAACUCAUCAAACAUUUACGGUACACAGAUGAUCAAAGGUCUGAACAGUCAGAAG